rnacentral:tRNA from 1 species
GUCUUCGUGGCUCAGUUGGUUAGAGCGUUGGUCUCAUAUCGUACUCGAUGAUGAAGGUGUAUGGCACUCGAUAUCCAAAGGUCGCGAGUUCGAGUCUCGCCGAGGACA